UGCCAGCCGCCGCGGUAAUACGGAGGGUCCAAGCGUUGUUCGGAAUCACUGGGCGUAAAGCGCGUGUAGGCGGUUUCGUCAGUCGGAUGUGAAAUCCCAGGGCUCAACCCUGGACGUGCAUCCGAUACUGCGAAACUAGAAUCCCGGAGGGGGUGGCGGAAUUCCUGGUGUAGAGGUGAAAUUCGUAGAUAUUAGGAGGAAUAUUUGUGGUGAAGGUGGUUAUUUGGAUGGGUAUUGACGCUGAGACGCGAAAGCGUGGGUAGCAAACAGGAUUAGAUA
rnacentral:rRNA from 1 species